rnacentral:rRNA from 1 species
AUGAACGCUAGCUACAGGCUUAACACAUGCAAGUCGAGGGGCAGCAUGGUCUUAGCUUGCUAAGGCCGAUGGCGACCGGCGCACGGGUGAGUAACACGUAUCCAACCUGCCGUCUACUCUUGGACAGCCUUCUGAAAGGAAGAUUAAUACAAGAUGGCAUCAUGAGUCCGCAUGUUCACAUGAUUAAAGGUAUUCCGGUAGACGAUGGGGAUGCGUUCCAUUAGAUAGUAGGCGGGGUAACGGCCCACCUAGUCUUCGAUGGAUAGGGGUUCUGAGAGGAAGGUCCCCCACAUUGGAACUGAGACACGGUCCAAACUCCUACGGGAGGCAGCAGUGAGGAAUAUUGGUCAAUGGGCGAGAGCCUGAACCAGCCAAGUAGCGUGAAGGAUGACUGCCCUAUGGGUUGUAAACUUCUUUUAUAAAGGAAUAAAGUCGGGUAUGGAUACCCGUUUGCAUGUACUUUAUGAAUAAGGAUCGGCUAACUCCGUGCCAGCAGCCGCGGUAAUACGGAGGAUCCGAGCGUUAUCCGGAUUUAUUGGGUUUAAAGGGAGCGUAGAUGGAUGUUUAAGUCAGUUGUGAAAGUUUGCGGCUCAACCGUAAAAUUGCAGUUGAUACUGGAUAUCUUGAGUGCAGUUGAGGCAGGCGGAAUUCGUGGUGUAGCGGUGAAAUGCUUAGAUAUCACGAAGAACUCCGAUUGCGAAGGCAGCCUGCUAAGCUGCAACUGACAUUGAGGCUCGAAAGUGUGGGUAUCAAACAGGAUUAGAUACCCUGGUAGUCCACACGGUAAACGAUGAAUACUCGCUGUUUGCGAUAUACAGCAAGCGGCCAAGCGAAAGCGUUAAGUAUUCCACCUGGGGAGUACGCCGGCAACGGUGAAACUCAAAGGAAUUGACGGGGGCCCGCACAAGCAGUGGAGUAUGUGGUUUAAUUCGAAGCAACGCGAAGAACCUUACCAGGGCUUGACAUAUACAGGAAUACUUAAGAGAUUAAGUAGCUCUUCGGAGUCUGUAUACAGGUGGUGCAUGGUUGUCGUCAGCUCGUGCCGUGAGGUGUCGGCUUAAGUGCCAUAACGAGCGCAACCCUUGUUGUCAGUUACUAACAGGUUCCGCUGAGGACUCUGACAAGACUGCCAUCGUAAGAUGUGAGGAAGGUGGGGAUGACGUCAAAUCAGCACGGCCCUUACGUCCGGGGCUACACACGUGUUACAAUGGGGGGUACAGAGGGCCGCUACCACGCGAGUGGAUGCCAAUCCCCAAAACCUCUCUCAGUUCGGACUGGAGUCUGCAACCCGACUCCACGAAGCUGGAUUCGCUAGUAAUCGCGCAUCAGCCACGGCGCGGUGAAUACGUUCCCGGGCCUUGUACACACCGCCCGUCAAGCCAUGGGAGCCGGGGGUACCUGAAGUGCGUAACCGCGAGGAGCGCCCUAGGGUAAAACUGGUGACUGGGGCU